AAUGCAUAUAUUAUAGUAUGUUUUUUGUUUGCAUUUUGACUGCAGGUAUUGUGGUUAAUGCAGACAUGAAUCCUCGUAAAAAGGUUUCAGUUUUGUUGCCAGAAAAAAGGGGAAAAACCCUAUUAAUACACCAUCACUUUGUUAAUCAACAUUUUUUCAUCUGCUGAUCCUGAGCCAGUGAUGGAAAUUCCACAUUCCUGUGGCGGGGUCAAAUAUAUCAACAUAAAAAUGUCAUUUAGACACUACCACCGAAUCGUGCCGCCUAACAAAGCGGUAUCCGUGUUACUGACCCCAGAGGAUGGUGACGGAAUGCGAUGGCUCUGUCCAGGAUUUGAGCUUGUGUGUCAUUGUCGGGAGUUAUUCUGCCAACUGAGCUGUGUCCCAGCCAAAAGCAAUGUUUAUGGUCACAUUUGACAGCAAAUACUACUACAGUUAUUAAUGAUGAUGAUACUAGAACGGGUGGUAAUCGUAAAGUGGCUUUGCAAGCAGCACCCUGAAUGUACAUGCCCACCUCGUUACACUGUCAUGUCGUAAAUACGACCCUGUUCUUUUAAGUGUGUUGUUAUUUUUAUAUUUAGAGGAUGGUUUAAAUUGUUAGUCAAGAUCAAUGUGAACUGUUAAACUUGUUUGUGCAUUUUCAGUCGGUCAACUCUUUGUUAGAUGUAUUUAAAGAUAUCAGACAAUGUAAAUAAAAUAUGGUACAGUGGUUGUCCUAUGUAGACUGGCCACCGCCAUAGGAAUGUGGAAUUACUACCACUGGCUCAGGGCUGCCAAUGGAGAUAAUUUUCAGCAAUUUUGGCUUUAACUUGAAGUACAGUAUAUAUAUUUUAUUGAAUAUAUUGAUUUGAAUAUUGUUUUGAUUCUUAGGAUGAAAAAGGAAAGGAUGCUAUGAAGCUCCUGAUCGAUUGCCUUGGUGCAAACUCGCCAGGUGUGGCGAAAUCUGAUUUGCUGUUCGGACAUGCAGGUAGAGACUUAAAUCUCAGCUUCACUGAUUUGAUUGGUUACCUUGUUCUUCAGACAACGCUUUUUGACCGAAGCCAAUUUGUUGGGUUCAGGUCUCACCAGUGCUGGUGGUAUUUAGCUGCCUUGGGUUGGGUGAAGGUUUAGAACCUGAGAUUUGAAAUGAGCAAGGAUUUAAUACCUGGAUGGAGUAAGGCCCCUCUCUUCUUUAAAAGAGUGAGCUUUUUAAUUUUUUUGUAAUUUAAAUGUGUUUGAUCCAUAAUUCUGGUUGUAAUUUUUUUUUAUAUAAUUAAAAUGUAAGGUAGUUUUUAAAAAAAAUAUUAAACGUGGUUUCUUUAUGACAAAGCAUGUGGUUAUUUGAGGAAGUAGAUACAAUAGGUGACGAUUUACGGAAGGAGUUUGAUAUGUGUGAGACAGAGGUGAUCUUGCAGUAUUGUGAAAUAUACUCAAGGGAAGGUGAUACAGGUUUAAGGUGUUUGUAAGUUGCAAGAUGGUUGGUGGUGGGAGACAUUUCGAUUGUACUCAGAAAGGGAAUUGUGUUGAGAGAAACCGUAACGAUGGCUGAAUACUGCUGUAUUGAAGAGUUGUGGGCGACCGGGCAUGUUAAGUUGCCCUCCACGGUUAUAAGCAGUUGGUACGUUAUAACAAAAUCAGUGCUGUGAAUUAGGCAGCAAGAUUUGUCACUGCUCUCAGUUAUAGCUGAGAUGCACGUUAUCACAUUUGUGUAAUAUAAAAGUGAUGUCUUUAAACGAUACAUGAGAGAAUUGGAAUUCAAAUGAGAGAUAUACACACAAGUCUACUGUUUAUAAACGGAGGGAGCUGGAACUCAGAAUUUAUCUGCGUGGGUGGACACCAAACGGCCCUGGUGGUGGUGCCUCCGCACCCCCCAAACUGCACGCGUCCCUGGCCACAGCGUGGCAGCAGCAGCGGCGGCCUCGCUCGAUACGCCGCCUACCCGCUAAGCCAAGACUGUGAAACCAGUAGUAGUACAUUUACAUAGGCCAAAGGAUGUGCAAUAUGUUUGAAUCAAAGGCUAUUAUUGAUGUACUGCCCAAAUCCGGUCCUUCGGCUUCUCGCGCUUGUGUGAGUCUUCUCUGCUUUCUUUAACUUAUUGUUCAUUCUUUAUCGACUGCAUUCGCGCCAGAUGUACCAGAUGUCGUCGUCGCCCUUCACUGCGAGUCUUUAAAUCGCUUCCUCCCCCCUGCUGCUGCCGCAUGGAAUGUAGCCCCGUGUCAUCUCUUGUUGGCUGGCUGGAGCUACUGAUGAUGGACAAUGAAGUGUUAUGUGGCCCCGUGUCAUCUCUUGUUGGCUGGCUGGAGGUACUGAUGAUGGACAAUGAAGUGUUAUGCUGAAGACUUGUAACGCAUUGCUCUGCUUCUUGUCGAUGGGGGUUGAAAGCCAUCCAUCCCUCUGAACGGACAAUGCCUGACGACGAUAAUGUAUUGUCUAAAAUCCAGGGGUGGAUUCGUUAGCUAAUGGGAGUGGAGUUUAUCUUAUGACCUUGGAUAACCAUGGUAGGAUGGGAGUGAAACUGAGACGCUGGCACUUAUACAUUGCCACGAGCUAUGAUGCAUGUUUGCUGUUUGCAGACAGAGCUAUGCGAUGGUACCGAGCGGAGGACUGGCAAUAAUAAUAAGAGUACAGUUGUAUUGCGCUUAUAUUUUUUACAAAUGCUGCAUUGUAGAUUCUGGAUCGUUGUACUCAUGGAGAUUAAUCAGGGUAUUUUAACAUUGAUGAUUCUAUAACCGGUUUACGGAUGACAUCACGAAUAAAAAUGCAUGUUUGAGCAAGUACUAUGGUGUCAUUUCACGCAAAAUAGAAACUCGAGUUGUUUACAUUAAAAGUGUAAAUCUGUGGAAGGUGAAACACGUGGCGCUGUUGCUGAUGUUAUCAACAUGUGUGCAGCAAAUCGUGUUUAUGGGCAUGUGGUAAUGAUUGAGAAGGAUUCCUCGAUAUGGGUGCUCAAAUACGUGCCUGCUACCGGCGGUGAUGUUUUAUUAUGGCGAUUCAUAAUGGCCACAUCAGGGCACCGAAAGCACGUUGAGAUCCCGAUUUAAAAUGUGGGCCUCAGUUGCCCGUGAUCAGACUGGGUUCUCGAUUGCAGAGAGUUGGUGUUGGUCUAAGCCUGGUCACUGACGACACAAAAAAGUCCCAGAAUAAUAAUAGUUGUUUCACGACAUUGUGAAUAUUCCAGCUGAGGAAUAGAGAACUAAUGUAGGUGCAUUACCAUUUGAUGAAUGCUGUCUGCAGGACCACCUUUUGUGGAUCAUAAGCCAAAGUCAUUUACCAUUGUCAUCUGGUAGGCCAUUCUCUAACACAAGGUGAGGUGUAAUGCUCGAUCCGAGAAUUCUAAUGAAUUCCUUUGCCUUGUGACCUGAUGCUGAUAGCACAAUCGAAUAUAAUUGGAACAGGAUCGGUAUUUAAAGAGUUUUGCCAGGCAAUUACUGGUGUUCAACUAAUCGCGUUGUCAUAAAAAGCAUAUAUUUCCACUUUCGCGUUUUGCCAUUUGGAUCGUUUUCUAAGCAGUAUCAUAGUUAUUUGAUUGAUAGAAUCAGACUGUGCCAGCAUAGGACUAACAAAAGCUUUGUUCUGUUCGUCGCAUCGCCUCCCUCAUUUACAAGCAAAAAUCCGUUUAAUUUUAAGUUUGUCAGUGUCGUUUUCUGUUGCGUUACAUUUCAAAUUUAACAUCAGAAUUUCUGAAAUGCUCAAAUAAACAGAACAAUCAUCAGA